AGUGAACGCUGGCGGUAGGCCUAACACAUGCAAGUCGAACGGCAGCACAGUAAGAGCUUGCUCUUACGGGUGGCGAGUGGCGGACGGGUGAGGAAUACAUCGGAAUCUACUUUUUCGUGGGGGAUAACGUAGGGAAACUUACGCUAAUACCGCAUACGACCUACGGGUGAAAGCAGGGGAUCUUCGGACCUUGCGCGAUUGAAUGAGCCGAUGUCGGAUUAGCUAGUUGGCGGGGUAAAGGCCCACCAAGGCGACGAUCCGUAGCUGGUCUGAGAGGAUGAUCAGCCACACUGGAACUGAGACACGGUCCAGACUCCUACAGGAGGCAGCAGUGGGGAAUAUUGGACGAUGGGCGCGAGCCUGAUCCAGCCAUACCGCGUGGGUGAAGAAGGCCUUCGGGUUGUAAAGCCCUUUUGUUGGGAAAGAAAAGCAGCAGGUUAAUACCCCGUUGUUCUGACGGUACCCAAAGAAUAAGCACCGGCUAACUUCGUG
rnacentral:rRNA from 1 species